GACAGAGGGUGCGAACGUUGUUCGGAAUUACUGGGCGUAAAGCGCAUGUAGGCGGCAGCGCAAGUCGGGCGUGAAAUCCCACGGCUCAACCGUGGAAGUGCACUCGAAACUGCGCAGCUAGAGUCCUGGAGAGGAAGGUGGAAUGCUUGGUGUAGAGGUGAAAUUCGUAGAUAUCAAGCGGAACACCGGUGGCGAAGGCGGCCUUCUGGACAGUGACUGACGCUGAGACUCGAAAGCGUGGGGAGCAAACAGG
rnacentral:rRNA from 1 species